GAAUAUUGCACAAUGGGCGGAAGCCUGAUGCAGCGACGCCGCGUGGGGGAUGACGGCCUUCGGGUUGUAAACCUCUUUCAGCUCCGACGAAGCGGGAGUGACGGUAGGAGCAGAAGAAGCGCCGGCCAACUACGUGCCAGCAGCCGCGGUAAGACGUAGGGCGCGAGCGUUGUCCGGAUUUAUUGGGCGUAAAGAGCUCGUAGGCGGCUUGUCGCGUCGUCCGUGAAAACCCGUGGCUCAACUGCGGGCUUGCGGUCGAUACGGGCAGGCUGGAGUUCGGUAGGGGAGACUGGAAUUCCAGGUGUAGCGGUGAAAUGCGUAGAUAUCUGGAGGAACACCGGUGGCGAAGGCGGCAUCCUGGACCGGCAUUGACGCUGAACAGCGAAAGCCAGGGGAGCAAAC
rnacentral:rRNA from 1 species